rnacentral:lncRNA from 1 species
GGCGAACUGGGAAUUUUGUGUUCUGUUCUUGAUGCUAAAAAUGAUUGAUUGUUUGUCAAUCAGGGGCAUUUCAUUGAAUUUAAUUGUAAUUCAUCGGGCUGCUCUUAAGUGUUGUUAUUUCCAAAUACAAUUGUUUAGCAUUCAGAAUCAAGUUAUUUGUAACAAUAGGAGAGAGGAAAUCAUCCUAGUAAGAUUAUAUAAGGUAUAUUCACAUAUCCUUAUUACUAUUUGUCAACAUCUCUUAAUGGGUCUUUAUCCAUUAACUAACAAAUACAAUUACAAAUCAGUUAAAAAUCUUUAUUGAAAGAGAGAGAGGACAUAUUCAGAGAUUUAAUCUUUUUUUUGGAAUUAAGGAUGAACAUAGAAAAUGUGAGGAAAGAGGGAAAGGAUGGUUUGCCUGCUAAAAAAGUAUGGCAAACCAUUAGCACAAAAGAGAGAGAGAGAGAGAAAACACUUUAGUUGCCUCAACCAUUUCACAUUAUAUCAACUUGCUCUAUUCUAAUCGAAAUAAGUAAAAAUGCACCAUAGGCAAGUAUCUUGGGGGUCGUUUAAUCAGCAAGGCGUUUUAGGACCUGCUG